rnacentral:rRNA from 1 species
UACAGAGGGGGCCAGCGUUAUUCGGAAUUACUGGGCGUAAAGCGCGCGUAGGCGGCUUUGUAAGUUAGAGGUGAAAGCCCGGAGCUCAACUCCGGAAUUGCCUUUAAGACUGCAUCGCUAGAAUCAUGGAGAGGUUAGUGGAAUUCCGAGUGUAGAGGUGAAAUUCGUAGAUAUUCGGAAGAACACCAGUGGCGAAGGCGACUAACUGGACAUGUAUUGACGCUGAGGUGCGAAAGCGUGGGGAGCAAACAGG